rnacentral:rRNA from 1 species
UGCAAAUCAAUAUAAAUUGAUUUAUAUUAUAAAUUAUUUAUUAAUAAAUAUUUUUAUUUAGUUUUUAAUAUUAUUAAAAAUAAUUAUAUAAUUUAUUUGUUUUAGUAAUUUUUAAUGAAAAAAUAAUUUUUAUGAUAGUUUAUUUGUAUUGUGAAAGAUAAUUGAAAUAAUUUUGAAAAAUUUUUAUUUAAAAAGAAAAAUUUUUUUUUUGUACCUUGUGUAUCAGGGUUUAUUAAAUAAUUAAUAAUUAUUUUUAUUAUUCUCGAUUUUAUAAGAGUUAAUAAUUUACUAAAUUUAAUGUAUUAAAAUUAUUUUUAAUAAAUUAUUAGAAAUGAAAUGUUAUUCGUUUAUAAAGGUAUCUAGUUUUUUUAGAAAUAAAUUUAAUUUAUAAAUUUUUAAUUUUUUUAUUAUUUAUUUAAUAAAAAAAAUUAUUAAUUUAAAUAUUUUAAGGGAUAAGCUUUAAAAUAAAUUAUUAAAAAUUAAUUGAUUUUAAUUUUAAAAUAUAUGCUUAUAAUUAGCAAUUAUUAUUAAUAUUGUUAUAAAUUAUUUCAUUAAAAUAGUAUUUAAUUAAUUUUAAUAUUUUAUAAAAAUUUUUUUUUUAAUUUAAGAAUAAAAAGUAUAAAUGAUAAAAUUAGUAUAUUAGUUUUAAUGUAUGGAAUAAAUUUAAUUGAUAAGUUUAUAUAAAGAACUCGGCAAAUAUUAUACUCGCCUGUUUAACAAAAACAUGUCUUUUUGAGUUAUUUUUAAAGUCUAACCUGCCCAAUGAAUAAUUUUUAAUGGCCGCAGUAUCCUAACUGUGCAAAGGUAGCAUAAUCAUUAGUCUUUUAAUUGAAGGCUUGUAUGAAUGGUUGGACGAAGUAUAAACUGUUCCAUAUAAAUUUAUAAUAGAAUUUUAUUUUUUAGUAAAAAAGCUAAAAUAAUAUUAAAGGACGAGAAGACCCUAUAAAUCUUUAUAUUAUAAUUUAUUAAUUUUUUUUGAUUUUUUUGAAUUUAAUAUAUUAUAAUAUUUUGUUGGGGUGAUAUUAAAAUUUAUAAAACUUUUAAUUUAAAUUUACAUUAAUUUAUGAUUUAUUGAUCCUUUAAUAAUGAUUAUAAGAGUAAGUUACUUUAGGGAUAACAGCGUAAUUUUUUUGGAGAGUUCUUAUCGAUAAAAAAGUUUGCGACCUCGAUGUUGGAUUAAGAGAUAUUUUUAGGUGUAGUCGCUUAAAUAUAAAGUCAGUCCGACUUU